rnacentral:rRNA from 1 species
AUGGGUUCCACCGGCGCCACCGCCGUCCUUCUGUCCUGCGUCGUGCAGUCCAUUGUCGCCGCCGGCUCCGCCGCGUCGGACAAACCGCUCAUCAUAUCAACCUCGCCCCCGGAGGCAUCGCCGUCGUCCGGCCGCAAACUGGGGGGCUCCAUGGAGGCAGGGCUGUGCCCGGUGCAGCUGGAGCACCUGAAGCUGAUGGGCAAGGUACAGGGCAGCUGCUUGGGACAGGCGAUCCCGCAGCGGCGGUGCUGCACGGCGUUCAAGGGCUUCGUGUGCCCCUACGGGGCCACGAUGAACGACCUCGACAACGGCUGCGCCCGGGAGAUGAUGGCGACGAUCCAGGAGCUCUGCAAGGUGCCCAAGGGCUACUUCGCCAUGUGCGGGGAUUCACCCGAGGGCAUCACGUGCUGA